rfam:Triticum aestivum genome assembly, contig: Triticum_aestivum_CS42_TGACv1_scaffold_493186_6AS
AUUAUACUCCCUCCGUCCAAAAAUACUUGUCAUCAAAAUGGACAAAAAGGGAUGUAUCUAAAACUAAAAUACAUCUAGAUACAUCCCUUUUAUCCAUUUUGAUGACAAGUAUUUCCGGACGGAGGGAGUAUAUA